rnacentral:rRNA from 1 species
UACGUAGGGGGCAAGCGUUGUCCGGAUUUAUUGGGCGUAAAGAGCGUGUAGGCGGUCCGGUAAGUCAGCUGUGAAAGUCAAGGGCUCAACCCUUGAAAGCCGGUUGAUACUGUCGGGCUAGAGUCCGGAAGAGGCGGAGUGGAAUUCCCGGUGUAGCGGUGAAAUGCGCAGAUAUCGGGAGGAACACCAAUGGCGAAGGCAGCUCGCUGGGACGGUACUGACGCUGAGACGCGAAAGCGUGGGGAGCAAACAGG